ACCGGUCUUUCUGAGUUCUCGUCCGCUCACACUGUGUGCCACGUGUGAGUUGAAUCUUCACCUUUCUCUGCUCUCUUCUCCAGAUCAUGGAUUAACAGCCAAUGCUGUGUAUGAGGAAAUAGGCCCUGCCACAGAAACAGAAGGUUCUGAAGUAGUUGGGAAGCACAGUUUCUAUUCAGCCGUUCAGUUAAAACCACUAAACCAAGGUCCUACUGCAUAAUUGGACACAGGGAUCCAUAUUCACUCAGUCUUACCUUCAUAUGUGAGGGAAUAUAUUCUCGCUAUAGGUACAUGCCACUAUAUCCUACUAUAUGUUUUCAUAUCAUAUGUAUUUUAAGGUCACUAUGUUGCACAUUAAAUAAUGAUAUGCAGUUGAACCACCCUA